rnacentral:rRNA from 1 species
UACAGAGGGUGCGAGCGUUAGUCGGAAUUACUGGGCGUAAAGCGUGCGUAGGCGGUUUCUUAAGUCCGUUGUGAAAGCCCUGGGCUCAACCUGGGAAUGGCAGUGGAUACUGAGAAGCUUGAGUGCGGUAGAGGAGGGUGGAAUUCCCGGUGUAGCGGUGAAAUGCGUAGAGAUCGGGAGGAACAUCAGUGGCGAAGGCGACCCUCUGGACCAGCACUGACGCUGAGGCACGAAAGCGUGGGGAGCAAACAGG